CGGAACGGGUGAGUAACGCGUGGGGAACCUGCCUCAAAGAGGGGGACAACAGUUGGAAACGACUGCUAAUACCGCAUAAGCCCACGGCUCGGCAUCGAGCAGAGGGAAAAGGAGUGAUCCGCUUUGAGAUGGCCUCGCGUCCGAUUAGCUAGUUGGUGAGGUAACGGCCCACCAAGGCGACGAUCGGUAGCCGGACUGAGAGGUUGAACGGCCACAUUGGGACUGAGACACGGCCCAG
rnacentral:rRNA from 1 species